UACGGAGGGUGCAAGCGUUGUCCGGAUUCACUGGGUUUAAAGGGUGCGUAGGAGGGCAGGUAAGUCCGUGGUGAAAUCUCUGAGCUUAACUCAGAAACUGCCGUGGAUACUACCGGUCUUGAAUAUCGUGGAGGUGAGCGGAAUAUGUCAUGUAGCGGUGAAAUGCUUAGAUAUGACAUAGAACACCAAUUGCGAAGGCAGCUCACUACCCGAAUAUUGACUCUGAGGCACGAAAGCGUGGGGAUCAAACAGG
rnacentral:rRNA from 1 species